rnacentral:rRNA from 1 species
AUGUCUGUAUGAAAUUAAAUAUUUAGUCUGGCCUGUCCACUGAGAUUUUUUAAAGGGCUGCGGUAAUUUGACCGUGCGAAGGUAGCAUAAUCAAUAGUCUUUUAAUUGGAGGCUUGAAUGAAAGGUUUGACGGAGGAAAAGCUGUCUCUUUAAUUUGAUUUGAAUUUAACAUUUGUGUGAAAAGGCAUUAAUGAUUUAGAGGGACGAUAAGACCCUAUAAAAUUUUACAUAUAGAAAUUAUUUGGUAGAACUGUUGUUAUAAAUUAUUAAAUUAAUUAAGUAUGUUUUGCUGGGGCGGCAAAAAUAUAAAUUUAACUGUUUUAAAUAUUAAAUACUUGUAAGUAGAAGAUGAUCCUUAAUUUGAGAAGUAGAGUAAGUUACUUUAGGGAUAACAGCAUAAUUUCUUUUGAGAGUUCUUAUCGAAGAUGAUAGUUGUGACCUCGAUGUUGAAUUAAAUUUUUCUUUAGGUGUAGAAGUUUAAAGGGAAGGCCUGUUCGGCCUAUAAAUAUUU